CAGUCUUUAAAAGUUGUUGUAUAUAGGAGUUGGCAAAUUCUAGGAGCCAUGAGAAUAACCUGUUCUCCCAAAACUCGUGGAAGGCUAGAGGGCAGAGUGGGAUGGGGCACACUCACAUUCUUGCCUCUGGUCCUCCGGGCUGUUCUUAUAGUCUUAACUUCCUAGGGAGUCAUGCCCAUAUUCCUCCAAGAACUCCCUUUAUUCACAUAACCAUACCUCAAUUCUGGGACCGCCUAAACCAACCCAAAUUGCCUACUGGAAAAUUAAGGGUUAUACACAUCCUCCCCUAACUGACACUUCCAGUCAGUAUGAAUCCCAUCAAAGAAAAGGUCCUGGCUAGAUAGGCAAGAUACGCUCAUGUUAGCAUGGACAACAUCUUUUGUGUUCUUUAGAUCCUUCCAAUGCUUAGGAGCUUGAUGGAGACCCCUUUCUGCAAACCAAAGAUGGUCAGAGGACAAUGAACGCAACCAAGUCUAUUUCUUCCUUUUCCUACACUCUCUAAAAAAGACAAAGCAUCUUCAAUGCUGAUAAGUCUCUUGGUAUUAAUGGCUAGAGUAGUGGCUAGGACGUCGUUUUCAAGAUAUCGUUCCCAAGCUUGGGGAAAUAUAAUUCCAACCAAAUCUGGGCCAUCUAGACUAGACCACAGACAUUGGGUUCAUUGGAUUAAUAGUGAUUUGAUGAAGGCAGUGAUAGAGAAAAGCUAACAUAAAAGUGCAUGUGGCCACACCCACUUCAUUGUAAAGAGUUUCCCCCAGAUGCAUGUACUCCGGCUUCACUCCCCUUUCAGUGUUGGGAAAAAUGAAUUUGUUAAGGUAGAAUAAUAAGAACAUCAUAUCCUCCUGGUCGGGAUCAGCCAUCCCUUGGUAAGUCAUCACGAAUCCAGAAUAGGUUCGCAAAAGCACAAUCUCUGUUCUGGUAGCUUUCAUUGGAGUGUCGAUCCUACGAUUCUUCAAGUCAUAGUCCCCCAGAACAUCUAUGCUCAUCCCGCAAGGCUUAAAACCUGAAAAGGGCAGCCAUAUCUAAGAGAGUAGGGGGUGGGACCAAGCCUGAAGGCAAAAGUACUAGAAGUGCUAUCCCAAUAGCAAAAAGCGGCACCCAACAAAGGUGCAUUCAAGUCCAUUUGAUGCUUUGAUAACAUAAUGACAUAAAAUAUCCCAUUCUGCAUCCAUUUAUUUUUGAUACAUGGGGAUCAUCUCGUCCACCCAACUAUUCCAAGGGAGAUAAUCCUCAGUAAGGGGCACUUUAGGGUUCGGACCUAACCUCUCCAAAUUCGUUUCCCAGGAAUCCCAGUCUAUAUCCUCCAUACCGUAGGGAAAUGGGGCUCAGACCAGUUGUGUAUCCAAAGCCUGUAACUUCUCCGACUUGGCUUGAUGAUAGUGUGGGCCAAGAAAGGAGUCCUAGGAGGAUCUCUUAGAUUCAAAGGAACAGGAGAGUAAAGUCUUACCG
rnacentral:lncRNA from 1 species